GUUUGCCAAUGACAUUGAUUGAAUCAGAGUUAAAAUCAGACUAGAGUCGACAUGGUAGCAAUCAUCUAACACUCUUUUGUUCGUUUUCAAUCGAACUUUACGGCGGAAGUCCUUUUUUCAGCGAUCUCUCAAUUUCAAUCUCGGUUCCCCUGUUCCAUCGUGUAAAUUGAGGCCAUAGUCAGAUUGUCGGAGGAGCUGGUUCAGCCUGCAACCAGCAGCAGAUCUGGACUGACGACUCCUACCAGCCCAUAUGCAUCACCAACCGACAGACGGCCGGGACUAACUUGUUCACUGUCUUUGCCUCUCUGCUGCUGCUUUUAGCCUUUUUAGGGUGGUAAGUAUGGUAGUUGGUGAAUGAAUAUUGGUGAUGUUCCCAAUUCUCAAUUCCCAAUUCCCAAUCUUGGCCUUCUUCAUCAUGAUGGGGUGGUGGUCUUGAGAUGGUUUCAUUUGGAGUCAUGGAGUGGGAUGGUGGUCUUGAGAUGGUUUCAUUUGGAGUCAUGGAGUGGGAAGGUGGGGGCGUAGCCUCACCUCUUCAUGAAUGUGUUUAUAACUUAGUGGCCCGGCCCCUUGAAUCCUUUGAGCAGACCAAAGCACCCCAUGAAUCCCACAGGCGUUUAGUUUGUUUAUGAUGAAUAUGACAUAUAUACUACCUUUGCUUGGUUGGCUAAUAUUCUUGAUUUAGUCGUUCUCAAUUCAGUUU